rnacentral:antisense_RNA from 1 species
CUUGAUCGAGCCGAGGUACAGCGGCUCCUCGGCACGCUCCUGGCCGUAGGUGGCGAGCAGCGCCUGCGCCUC